rnacentral:rRNA from 1 species
CGGAUGAACGCUGGCGGCAGGCUUAAUACAUGCAAGUUGAACGGUAACAUGUUGUAGCAAUACGAUGAUGACGAGUGGCGCACGGGUGCGUAACACGUGUGUAACCUACCUUAUACAGGAACAUAACGUUGAGAAAUCGGCGCUAACAUUCCAUAAUAUUAUUUGUAGGCAUCUAUGAAUAAUUAAAACUCCGGUGGUAUAAGAUGGGCACGCGUUCCAUUAGCUAGUUGGUAAGGUAACGGCUUACCAAGGCAACGAUGGAUAGGGGUUCUGAGAGGAUAAUCCCCCACACUGGAACUGAGACACGGUCCAGACUCCUACGGGAGGCAGCAGUAAGGAAUAUUGGGCAAUGGAGGCAACUCUGACCCAGCCAUGCCGCGUGCAGGAAGACGGCCCUAUGGGUUGUAAACUGCUUUUAAUAGGGAUUAAAGUCGACUACGUGUAGUUGUUUGCAAGUACCUAUAGAAUAAGCAUCGGCUAACUCCGUG